rnacentral:rRNA from 1 species
AUUGAACGCUGGCGGCAGGCCUAACACAUGCAAGUCGAACGAGUGGCGGACGGGUGAGUAAUGUCUGGGAAACUGCCCGAUGGAGGGGGAUAACUACUGGAAACGGUAGCUAAUACCGCAUACCAUCGGAUGUGCCCAGAUGGGAUUAGCUAGUAGGUGGGGUAACGGCUCACCUAGGCUGCGAUCCCUAGCUGGUCUGAGAGGAUGACCAGCCACACUGGAACGGAGACACGGUCCAGACUCCUACGGGAGGCAGCAGUGGGGAAUAUUGCACACUGGGGGCAAGCCUGAUGCAGCCAUGCCGCGUGUAUGAAGAAGGCCUUCGGGUUGUAAAGUACUUUCAUCGAGGAGGCGUUACUCGCAGAAGAAGCACCGGCUAACUCCGUGCCAGCAGCCGCGGUAAUAC